rnacentral:misc_RNA from 1 species
GCUGUUGGCGUAGACCGACGUGUGCCCGCGGAGUUUUGUUCCUCCGGCGUUCAUGUGGUGGACGAGACAGAUGUGAGCGCCGGGGAUGGCCUGCGAUAUCCGGUCGAUGUUCCCCAUNNNNNNNNNNCUUGCCCGAGUUCUCGUCGGCGGCGCCGGAAGCCUUCGCCAGUGUAUCGAUGAACAGGGCGACCACCGGCAUGUUGUAGAUGCUCUCGAUGCCA